rnacentral:rRNA from 1 species
GAUGAACGCUGGCGGCGUGCCUAAUACAUGCGAGUCGAGCGAACGGACGAGAAGCUUGCUUCUCUGAUGUUAGCGGCGGACGGGUGAGUAACACGUGGAUAACCUACCUAUAAGACUGGGAUAACUUCGGGAAACCGGAGCUAAUACCGGAUAAUAUUUUGAACCGCAUGGUUCAAAAGUGAAAGACGGUCUUGCUGUCACCUAUAGAUGGAUCCGCGCUGCAUUAGCUAGUUGGUAAGGUAACGGCUUACCAAGGCAACGAUGCAUAGCCGACCUGAGAGGGUGAUCGGCCACACUGGAACUGAGACACGGUCCAGACUCCUACGGGAGGCAGCAGUAGGGAAUCUUCCGCAAUGGGCGAAAGCCUGACGGAGCAACGCCGCGUGAGUGAUGAAGGUCUUCGGAUCGUAAAACUCUGUUAUUAGGGAAGAACAUAUGUGUAAGUAACUGUGCACAUCUUGACGGUACCUAAUCAGAAAGCCACGGCUAACUACGUG